rnacentral:rRNA from 1 species
GAUGAACGCUGGCGGCGUGCCUAAUACAUGCAAGUCGAGCGAACGGACGAGAAGCUUGCUUCUCUGAUGUUAGCGGCGGACGGGUGAGUAACACGUGUAUAACCUACCUAUAAGACUGGGAUAACUUCGGGAAACCGGAGCUAAUACCGGAUGAUAUUUUGAACCGCAUGGUUCAAAAGUGAAAGACGGUCUUGCUGUCACUUAUAGAUGGAUCCGCGCUGCAUUAGCUAGUUGGUAAGGUAACGGCUUACCAAGGCAACGAUGCAUAGCCGACCUGAGAGGGUGAUCGGCCACACUGGAAGUGAGACACGGUCCAGACUCCUACGGAAGGCAGCAGUAGGGAAACUUCCGGAAUGGGCGAAAGCCUGACGGAGCAACGCCGCGUGAGUGAUGAAGGUCUUCGGAUCGUAAAACUCUGUUAUUAGGGAAGAACAUAUGUGUAAGUAACUGUGCACAUCUUGACGGUACCUAAUCAGAAAGCCACGGCUAACUACGU